rfam:Schistosoma mansoni strain Puerto Rico chromosome 1, complete genome
AUCCAGCUGGCGAGUCCCAAACAGGACGAAACGUGCGCCCUCGAU